AUGUAAUGCCUCGUACAAUUUAUUUAUGGAAAUGUUCACUGCGGUCGUUGAGUUUGAAAUGUUGGUUUCAACGAGUGUGAACGCCAGGGUACAACGAGGAAUAAUCGUCUAAUGCUCCCCUUUAUUGCCUUUUGGUGUCUGGCAGUUACGGUGGCUGCAGGUGGAACUUCCGCAAUAACAACGAUACGCAUGAUUGACUUUAAUGUCUGAAAUGUACUCAGCAGACCGCAGUGGGCUUUUUUUUUUUUUUCCUCUGUUUACGCAGCAUGGGUUGCAGACGUCAGGGCAAGAUAUUUUUAGAAAACAAGAGCGUACGCAACAUGCAGGUGACAAGUUUACGAUCCCACCCAUCCCUGUCCUUCCUCACUGCCUUCCUUUACAACCCAGGGGGGGGGGGGCACAACUCAGUUUAGAACAGCCCCGAGGUGUUUUACAUUUAGAUGAGAACACCCGUUUUAAACAUUGUAAUCCAUCUAAAUGAAUUAGUAGCGAGGUUUUUCUUUUUUAAAAAAAACUGGCUUCUUAAGAACAGUUACAAUUUUUAGAAACAUCUGUUAUACUCUCUUGCCAUCACGGGGGUUGGGGGAAAUAACACCACCUGUCUACAAAAAAUGACACCUGUCAACGCAAAACGGAGCACCUGCUUUUCGAGGUGGGACAGGUGGACACCAGCGCGGAAAAGCGGACCCAGUGCUGUCCAAAGUGAGUUUUUAAAAAGUCAGUGACGUGUUGUUAGUGACGUAUCGGUGGCAUAAUGAAGACAGUAGAUGACAUAUAGUGACGCUGUCAGCUGACUGAUGUCCGCUUCGUGAGGUCGGCCAGACAAACCGCAGCCACCCAGCAGCAGCUCAGCCACCCAGCCUCCUCCAUCAGCACGUCACGACUAACUAUAAUCUGUCAAAGCAUUAGCAGCCAUGUUUGUCACAUUUUGUCACGAAGACCUGGCACGACUCACCGAACAAGGAGAGGUGAGGGUGACACCAUUUGUUUGUUUUUAAAAGGCUUUGUCUCCACGUGUCAUCAUUCUUCCUGAAACUUUAAACGGCGGAUGUUAAUUACAACAAACGCUCAAGUUUUUUUUGUAAAUUAAAUGUUUCCAUCUUGAGUGACUUGCCGUGAAACGGUCCCUCGUGCUGACACAGGGUUAAACAGGAACAACCGACCUUGGGCACAACUCUUCGGUCAGGUCAUGCUGCCUGGCUCUCCACCCUCAACCCUCCCCCUUACACAAUAUUGGUGACACUGAGCUGUUGUUACUCCAUAAACAUCAACUAAAAAGCUUGUAAUGCUAGCCCUGAGAUUUUAUCUUUCCUGAAUACAUUCAGUAGCUAUCCCACCCUCUCUUAUUUUUGUUUUUAUUUCUUUUUUUUUUUUUUAAGUUAGCAGAACUUGCUGUCAAGCGAGGAAAUGCGUUUCAACAUUAUUCCGAGUGCUCGCAUACUUCUGUAAUUCUAUCUUCCAUUCAACCGGUUAACUGUCGAAGUGACAGGUUGAUCAUGUGACAACCAACAAGUCAGCUGCCGACAGCCCCUGAUUUUGUGUGCUACAUAAAUCUUUCCAGAAUCUUCAGAUGCUGAGAUGGUAAGGACCAAAGAUGCGUCGUAGAAAGUUGUGGAGCACAGUUCCCCUUCAGGUCCCUCAGGUUGUAUCUGCCAUCGGGUUCUGGGCUUCCUCUCAUGCGAACUAUUUUCUUGAUAUAUUAUAUAGUUGGCAAGGCCUUUGGAGGAGAGGUGAGGAGGGGGUUGGGGGUCAAAAAGACAGUAGAACACAGUUCUUGAACUCCCGAUGUGUGAGGCCUUGUGGGUAACAUGGCUAGUAACUGAGCCACUUGUAUGAGUCUACAACAUUUUCUAUUCAUCGCGGUCAAGGUCUAGGCCAGGCACCGAGUUUGGCAAGAUUUGCAUUGUUAUUCUAUCAGAUGUAUAUUUAACGACACGGUAGAUAUGCGAGGACGACCCCAAUGUGUCCCACGAACGUGCAAACCGUCACCGAUAGCAGAGGUUUGAACCGCAGAGAGCUUGGGUUGAACAUGCAUUGAUUGAACUUGUAAAAUUUAUAGUUUGCUGCUGUCUCUUCCCACUAACCUGUGUGUGUGCAUUUAAGUGUAGAUGUUCAUGUGUAGGUGUGCUUAUAUAUACAUGUGUUUGUAUGUGUGCGUAUAAGCAUGCAUCUAUGCAAAUAUGGCGUGUGCUUUUAGUGUGCGCGCCUGCUUGCAAAUGAUUUCUAUUUUAUCACCUCACCCCAUCUCACGUAUGGAUAGGUCAACAUCUCCACUUGUCCCUUCCCCACCAGGAACCACCCAGCAGCACGCGCAUGCGCACACACCGCGGCAUGCAAUCUGCGGUUAAACAAAAGCCGCCCUGUCUCCUUUAAGUAAAGCAUCCUCCACCCACCGCACCCCCUUGGCUAGAAAAGCCUUUUGCGUACCCUUGGGGGCAGAGCCAAAAUAAGCAACUACAAGGCCCCGUCAGCCGCACGGUCCGCCCACUUUGUCAACGUUGGCCUUCGACCUCAUGACGUGGCAAGUGGUGAGUGGUUAGCCGUGCCACAUGAAGGUCUUCAGACAUCAGUUUCUGGGGAGGAAACUAGGACAAAAAUAGUAGAGUCAUUUUUUUUAAUAUCUUAAAAUUAACGUUUUUGUUGAGGCCAGUGAAUCAAGCCUUUGUCUCCUCCCAUUUGCCCUCCCUGCUCUUCCGAGACCAACUGUUGCAGACGAGACGGUAAAACAUUUAUCUUCGUCGGGCGCCUGCCUGAUGGGAGGAUGUAUUCGGCUUUACCUUGACCUCUUAUGACCUGAGGUAGCUGGGAUCUGGCAUACCUGAUUAAUGUAGACUACAUUCUAAACCCUAACCCAGACCACAUUUUCGAGGGAGGGAACACCAGAAUGUUCUAAACUUUCAAAACACGUCCAACCGACAUUCCCCAUUCCCGCAAUAAACCCCAGGGUUUCCUCUCUGUGUUGACAUUUCGUGCUUGGUAUGGAGAUUGCUAGUUCUUGUUCUUCACAAUUUUGUCAAACUACCGGCAUGCACUUGAUAUCUUGCAGCUGUGGGCUAACCCCAGAUAACCUUUUAUCUCAGUACAGACCCAACAAGGAGUUGACAUCAACGGUCUGGUUUGCAGCAUUUCCAUUUCUGUAAGUCGACAGUGAGUGAUGUUUGAGCGACUGAGGUUGUCGUCGUAGAACAAACUGUUUGUAGAUGACGUGGCACGUGAUAAUGGGGGAAGGAGGAAGAUGGCAAUGAGAAUUGGUAUGACGAUGACGAUAAUGAUGUCUUUCAAGAGUUAGUCGCUUUAAUGAUCAAAUAAAUACUUGAGAAAAAUGACUCGCCUCUUAUUAUUUAAAAAAAGCUUUUGCUGGUCUGCGUGUAGCCAAGGACUGAGUGCACAGUCGUGCAACUACAUUUUAAUGUCUACCAGUCAUUGAAUUGCUAACAUUUUCAUAAGCAUUGUAGGUGGCUUGCGAUAUAGGGUCCACUUGAGUUCAAAGAUGUCUUCUGACGGGAAGCGGAGAUGUCAAGCCCUGGGACCCACACCAUCCCACAUUGUCGGUGGCUGGUGUGAUCUUUCGACUCUGUACACUCUUGCGACCCACUUGAUGAAGACUGUCUCGAGCUAUUUAGCUGCGAACAAAGCACAAAAUGUACUCGGCCCCUCGACUCUCAAGCUGUGACCAGUCAUUACAGAUGCAGUCUGGUGUGCAAAUAUACACUUUGCCAUGCCAUCUGUUUGAACAAAGCUGGGGGGUGAGGGUAAGAUAAACGUUGAACGAGGAGAGAGAGAUGAGGAUUAUUUAGGGUGAGGGGGAUCUUGGUGACGACACUGCUGGUGAGAGGUGGGGGGAGAAAUAACUGCCGGAUCAGCGAAGACAUACUGCCCACCCUCCGUCUAAAAUCAGGGUUGACCAGGUCAGAGGGGGUAGGCUCGCACACAAGGCGGUUUGUCUGGCAAGGCACGAUUAAAGUGUCUCGACUGGGCUCCUUGCCAACUGGUUUAUGUACACAAGCUUCGACAUGUUCUUGUUGACACCAGCCAAACGGUCUGUUAAACUAUGUGAGAGAGAGCGCGCCCACAUGCAUAACACACGUAUAGAAGGUUUUAAGAUAGUUUUUUUUUUUAAAGGAGGGUGUGGGUGUGUGAGGAGUGACAGAGGCGUUUUUGUUCAAAGUUUAGUGGUCCUGAUGGAAGCUACUUUUAAACUCUACCCCGCUCCCCCGUGGUCACUCUAGUCGGCUUCCUUUGAUUGUUUUAUGUAAGUGCUUCCACUUGAUCCCUUCUCUCCUACACAAAGCACCACGGAGACCAUUGUUUUAAGGACAACCGCAAGGUGAACUCAUUGUUGUGCUCUCUCCCUCUCUGAUGCCGUUGUGAGUGGUAAGGUUGGAUGUGGGAUGUCUGCUGAUAAUGCUGAUGAGAAAGUAUGGCAAGACCCACGUAACUUGUUUACCAAGAUUUCCCCGCGUGCGUCAGAAUCGCCGCUGACCUUUGACAAGCGUACGUGCAGUGUACCUUGGGAGAGGUCACGAAUGGCACAAAGUUCUUUCAUGGAGAGAGCAAAGGAAACGGGUAGGGACUGAUGUCAACUUUACGAGACAUUACAUGAAUUAACUCAUCAAUCAACCAACGAACCAAAGGCGCGUGACCAAACAAUCAAAACAAACAAGUAAUAUUGUAAAUGCACGUGCGCAUGAUUACUUAGUGAUUUCGCGUACAUCAAUAUCAAUCAACUUGGAAAACAAGUUUUUUUUUGUGGUUUAAAAGUUCAGCAGACGAAGGGAGCGGCUGGAUGGAUGAACGAGGCAAGUUCUUAUUAUCAUUAUAGUUGUUACAGAACCCUGAUUAAUAGAUUUACAUUUAUGCUGUCAGUAUUUCAAUCUCUUACAUCUGUUUACUAACGGAUAGGUAUUUAUAUCAAUCAUUGACCAGCCAAGUCUGAAGCAAAAAAAAACCCCAAAAAAACAACCCCCUACCCUCGCCAAAAAAAGACAAACAAAACAAAAAACAAACAACUGAACUGCAGCAAAAAAAAAAAAAAAUCCCCACAGCUAUCAUCAGAAGGACUCUCCACAUGAAGUGCAGUAAACAAGUGCCAGUCACUUAGAUCAAUAAGCAGCUGACCACACAAGUGGGUGGGAGGACCGUUACACACCACGUGACCAGGAGAAAGGGGGACCCGCACUUGCAGAUGGCGUCAGAGUGUCGUUGUGGCUUCCUGCCGGUGUGACUAGGCUCUCGUACAGUUUCAGGCGUACCUGUAUACAACAGACUUGCGGAGGAAAGGUGGAGGCUCGGUUGGGGCAUGUCGGUAGCUCUGGCCACAGGGUACAACGCACUAUCGAUGGGCCGAAACGUAAACACGUGCAGGUAUUUUUAUUCUCGCACCUGGACAAGUAACUUUAUUCACCUUCCCUCCUCCCUCUCUCAAUGAAUAAAUCACUGUCUCUCAAUCCAAAAAUAACAAAUCAGCCUCUUAUUCACACACACGCAUAAUGUGACCCCCGUUUUGCACUCAUGAACCCACACUUCGCUCUAUUUACAUCAUCCGCCAACUUCUAUUUAUUUCUCCAGCCUAUUAAGUAUAUACUGCUGACCACAAAUUUUACAACCGUAAAUCUUUUACCAGUCUGUAAGUCCGCAGACUGUAGUGCCAAAGGAGGCCUCGGACUGCAAGGGGUCGCAAGUAUUGCAAUUAUCGUAGACGAAAGAAAAAUGAUUAAUUGCGUCAGCUGCGACCCUUGUACACUGUGCUCCCUAGUGGUGGGCCGCCCGUAGACGUAGAGGCUACCAUAUAUGGUCAUAUCACGUGCCCUGAGCGUACAGAAGAGGUCAUGACCCGUCUACGUGACUGCCAGCGUGUAUCUCUUCUGCGCAUUUAUUAUUUUUUUAACGAACGUCUAUACAACUGAAAAUAACGAGGGAGCUGGCAAUUCAACUGUCUUCUUUUAAAUCUCAGACUGAAGAUUUGUUGCAAAAUACUUUGAGAUCUUUUAGUUGCUCAGAACAGAACCUAAAAAAAAAAUCAUUUAAGAAAAUAUCAAGAGUUGUCCGUGUGUAAC